AUAAAGAGAUUACUUUCUGUUAGCUAGGAGCUUCAUCAACAUUGCAUUUUCGUGGGAAACAAAUUUCAAAUGUCCAUUAGUGAUGUAUACAUAUAGAAAAGAAACACAAGAAGCCCAGAGAUGUGAUAAUUUAAGAAUAACAUACAUUGAGAAGCUGGCCAGAAGUGAUGCUAGGUAGAACAAGUGUUGCAGCUUGUUUCUUUGCUUGUUGGAUAAUGGGUUACUGUUGUUGGUCCCAGUUGGUAAUGUCAGCUAACUUUUUCUUCUGAGCAGUUCCCACAGAGAUAGAAUCUCCCUUAACCAGUUUUCUCAAUUGAAUCCCAAAAAACAUCCAAUCCCUAAUUUCUGCCCUCUGAAACUCACUACGUUUCAUUUCUACUCAGGUCCGUUCCUCCCUUUCUCUUCUCUUCCCUUCUUUGAUUUAGGUUUUUCUUUUUCCGAGUCGGUGUUGGUGGCCCUCUCGCACUCAACAUCGUUGUUCCUCGGUCAGGCUCUUGUCCAUCCCUCUCUUUCUCUCCUAUUCUCUUCUCUUCCCUUCCCUUCUUUGAUUUGCAUUUUUCUCUUUCAGAUUCGGUGUUGGUGGUGACCCUCUCGCACUCAACAUCACUGUUUGGAGGCCCGUGUUAAGUUUCUCACUGUGUUUGUGACCUGUGUUCAUGACACUCUCUAUUGUGGUUCAAGUGCCUCACUUCUCCUUUUGACUCCUCUCUUCUUUAAUUUUCUCUGAUUAUGGUAUGUCUGUGUCUUUUAAUAAUGUCCUUUUGCUUGUUGCCUUGUUCUGAGUUCAGUUGAAUAGGGCAUUUGUAUUAUUGAUGUCAGAACUUCUAUAUUUCCAAAUUGCUUUCUAGUGUUAGAUGUUUGGAUUUGGUAAUUUAACAUAGUGAAACUGAAUGCUUAUUGAUUUAGUGAAUCAUUUAAAUGGUAGUUAAUACUUAUUAGUUGUUAUACUUGUAGCAUAUUAGUUUGCUGUUUUUUUACAGCCAAGAGCUAUGUAGUAAAUUGCAAGUUUGUUAUAUUUCUUGCUUCAUAAACUAAAGCAAUGGAUAAGUCAUGGAUUUCGAUGCCCCGAAAUUCACUUGCAUAUGAGAAAGGGGUUAAGGGCUUUUUAGAUUUUGCUUUUGAGCGUAGUCUGUUGAUGGUAAAAUAUUAUGCCCAUGUGUUCUAUGUGAAUGUAGAAAGUGGCAAAUUAAGGAUGUGGUAUAUGAUCACUUAAUUGUUAAGCAAUUCCCGAAAAAUUACACCUUCUAGUUUUAUCAUGGGGAGUCCGGUCAUGUGGAAAAUGAAAAGGUUGGUAGGGCCAAUGUUUCAAAUUCAACACAAAACAUUUUGACCCAUGAAGAUACUAUCCAGAACAUGCUGAAUGAAGCUUUUGGAGUUGACAGGCACCGUGUGAAUGAACCAAAUGAAGAAUUCGCACAAGGUGAAGGAGAAAUUCCAAAUGUAGAGGAGCAAGGACAUCAAGCUAGAGAAUUUUACGACUUAGCAAAAGAUGGGGAACAACCAUUGUAUGAAGGGUGCACACGAUAUUCUAAACUCUCUUUCAUAGUUAAGUUGUAUCAUAUCAAAUGCCUAUGUAAGAUGACAGAUAAGGCUAUGACAAUGAUACUAGAACUACUACAUGAUGCAUUUGAACAUGCUAAGAUUCCAAGUUCAUUCUACGAGGCGAAGAAAUAUUUAACCAAGCUUGGAUUGAGCUAUGAAAAGAUACAUGCAUGUCCAAGAAAUUGUAUGUUGUACUGUGGUGCGGAUUAUAGGGAACAAUGCAAAGUUCGUAAGAUGUCUAGAUGGAGCGAACCUAAGACAAAUGGUGAGAAUCAGAUGUCUGCUGAUGAAAAUUGUAAGAAGAAAGUUCAUAGGAAAGUAUUUCGUUAAUUUCCUCUUAAACCUCGAUUACAAAGAUUGUUUAUGUCUUCAAAGACUGUUGAGGAUAUGAGAUGGCAUGUUGUGUAUGCUAAUAAUGACAGUAUGAUGAGGCAUCCUAGAGAUUCCGCCGCAUGGAAGGAGUUUGACACAACAAACACAUCAUUUAGUGGAGAUCCACGAAAUGUUCGUCUUGGAUUGGCUGCUGAUGGUUUUAAUCCCCAUAGUGUAUUGAGUGCGAGUAACAACAUCUGGCCAGUUAUUCGCAUACCCUACAAUACUCCUCCAUGGGUGUGUAUAAAGUAGAUGUCUUUUAUCCUUUCAAUGAUAAUUCCUGGUAAAAAAGCACCAGGAAAUGAUAUAGAUGUUUACUUCUAGCCUCUAAUCAAGGAGCUGAAGGAAUCUGGAAUGAUGGUGUAGAUGCUUAUGAUGCUUCAAAGCAUGAGAUGUUCAAAUUGCAUGCUGCUUUGAUGUGGACCAUUAGUCACUUCCCUAUGUUCAAAUCUUUCUGGAUGGAACACCUACAUAGGAUUGGCUUGUCCUACAUGUAAUUUUGACGUUGUCCCUUGCCGCCUUCUGCAUAGUAAAAAAUGGUGUUUUAUGGGCCACCGUCGAUUCCUUGAUACAAGACAUAAAUUUAGACUGAACAGGAUUCGGUUUAAUGGAGAGCAAGAAUUACGUGAUGCACAUAAAUCAUUGUCUGGCUUUGAAAUUUUUGCACAGGUUAAGAACAUUAAUGUGGUAUUUGGUAGAAAAGAUAAAAGAGUUGACAAGCGAAAGAGAUCUCGUGGUGACCGAGAUUCCUCACAAAGUGGCACCCAACAAUGGAAGAAGAAAAGCAUAUUUUUUGAGCUUUCAUAUUGGGAGCACAAUAAGUUGCGUCACAAUCUUGAUGUCAUGCAUAUCGAAAAUAAUGUGUGCGAAAAUAUCCUAUUUACCUUGCUAAAUUAUGGAAAGUCAAAAGAUCACUUGAAAGCUUGAAAAGACCUUCAAGUCAUGGGCUUUAGGCAUGACCUUUGGCCAGACGAGAAUGGAAAAUGUCCUUUAGCUAUUUAUACAAUGACUAAUCAAGGAAAUAAGUUCUUUUUAACAACUUUAAGCAAUAUCAUUGUACCAGAUGUUUAUUCCAGCAACAUUUCUAGGUGCAUUGAUAUGGUGAAUUUUUGAUUGAGUGGAAUGCUAAAAAGCCGUGAUUAUCAUAUAUUGUUGGAGAAAUUGCUACCGUUGGCCAUGCAGACAACAUUUCCCAAUGAAGUCUCAAAAGUAUUGAAUGGAUUAAGCUCAUUCUUUAGACAACUGUGCUCAAAAGUGUUGAGUGUACCUGAUUUAGAACGAAUACAACAUGAUAUUCUGCUCACUCUUUGUAACAUGGAGAUGUUAUUCACCCCUUCGUUCUUCAUGGUCAUGGUUCAUUUAAUUGUCCACCUUGUUGAAGAAGCGAAGCUUGGACGUCCUGUAUAUUAUCGAUUGAUGAACCCUAUAAAGAGGUACUUAGAAUUUUUAAAAUCCUACGUGCGCAACAGGGCACAACCUACAAGCUCUAUUGCAGAAGGCUACCUAAUGCAAGAGAUCCUAACAUUUUGUUCAAGGUACCUCGAUGACAAAGAGACUGUAUGGAAUCGACCACAUCGUGUUGAUGAUGAGUCUAUUGAUACACAACCUAAAACACGAGAAGCAGAAUUGUUUCCUAAAGUGGGAAAAUCAGUUGGUUGCCACUCACAUUUCACCCUUUCAUCUGUUGAAAAACUAUUAGCUCAUCGACAUGUUCUAACCAAUUUCCCAAUAUUUGAUCCAUAUCUCCAGUAAGUACUUCAAAUAGCUUACUUAAAUCAUCCUUUUACAUGCCUUCUAACUUAUAUAUGUAUAGGAAAUUUGAAGAUAUUGUGCAAAGGCAACUAAGAAGGACUACAAGAAGUGCAAGUGAGAUAGUCAAGAAGGUUCAUAAAGAGUUUGCUAGUUGGUUCUAUAAUCAUGUAAGAAAAAUAUCAAAUUCAAAUGGAUAUUCAUUUUUAUUGGAAUUAUACACGUUUCUAACUCUAUGACUAUCUGUUUAGAUUUUUAAUAAUGGGAACGACCUUACUGAAACAGACAAAUAAGUUCUUCUUUGUCUUGCUGAAGGUCCUGAAAGGAUUGAGAACUCAAAAUAGUGGGGUUUUCGGUUCAUUUGGAACAAGAAGUUACUGGAUUCGUAGUGAUGCCCAAAUGAGAUUUGGAGGGGUUCCUUACUAUGGGAAACUGAUAGACAUAAUUAAGCUCAGCUUUAGUGGCUUAUUCACGAUUCCUUUAUUUAAAUGUAAAUGGGCUAAUACCACCAAUCCUAGAGGAAUGCAAAAAAUAUGAUUUGGGUUUUACCGCAAUUAACUUCACAAGACCUAUACAUACGGGAGAUCAUGAAGAUGGUGAGCCUUUUAUUAAAUCUUCGGAAGCCCAAAUGGUUUUUUAUGUUGAUGAUGAGAAAGAAAAAGGUUGGAGUAUACCCAUACAUUGAAUCCAAGGGACUUAUAUGACAUGGGUGAAGCUAUUGAAGAGGUAAUUGUAUCAAAUGAGGCAUUUCCAUCACAAAACUUGGAGCAAAUUUUUCUGAAUACUAUCGAACAUGUACAAUUGGCAAGAGUUGCUACAAAUGAUGAUCCUCUAGAUUAUAUCAUUGUUGAAAAUAUUGAUGGUGACGAUAUUCAAGAUUAUAUAGUUACAUGACAGACAUGGGUAAAAUUCUCCUUUUUUAACAUUUUAUCAUAAUUUUUCUCUACAUCAAUAUAUAUUAGAAAAGAAGAACUUUCAUUGUGACGUGUCAACACCAGAUUAAUUCUUAGUGACGUGUCAGCACCAGAUUAAUUCUCAUAAAAAUUA